rnacentral:rRNA from 1 species
GACGAACGCUGGCGGCGUGCUUAACACAUGCAAGUCGAACGGUGAACCUCUUCGGAGGGGAUCAGUGGCGAACGGGUGAGUAGCACGUGGGCAACCUGCCCCCGGCUCUGGGAUAACUCCAAGAAAUUGGGGCUAAUACCGGAUGUUCACCGCUUCCCGCAUGGGUGGUGGUGCAAAGGGUUUCCGGCUGGGGAUGGGCCCGCGGCCUAUCAGCUUGUUGGUGGGGUAGUGGCCUACCAAGGCGACGACGGGUAGCCGGCCUGAGAGGGUGACCGGCCACCCUGGGACUGAGACACGGCCCAGACUCCUACGGGAGGCAGCAGUGGGGAAUAUUGCGCAAUGGGCGGAAGCCUGACGCAGCGACGCCGCGUGGGGGAUGACGGCCUUCGGGUUGUAAACCUCUUUCAGCAGGGACGAAGCGCAAGUGACGGUACCUGCAGAAGAAGCACCGGCCAACUACGUG